UACGUAGGGUCCGAGCGUUUGUCCGGAAUUACUGGGCGUAAAGAGCUCGUAGGUGGUUUGUCGCGUUGUUCGUGAAAACUCACAGCUUAACUGUGGGCGUGCGGGCGAUACGGGCAGACUAGAGUACUGCAGGGGAGACUGGAAUUCCUGGUGUAGCGGUGAAAUGCGCAGAUAUCAGGAGGAACACCGGUGGCGAAGGCGGGUCUCUGGGCCGGAACUGACGCUGAGGAGCGAAAGCGUGGGGAGCGAACAGG
rnacentral:rRNA from 1 species